rnacentral:rRNA from 1 species
GACGACGCUGGCGGCGUGCUUAACACAUGCAAGUCGAGCGCGAACGGGGGGCAACCCCCUAGUAGAGCGGCGGCACGGGUGAGUAUCGCGUGGGUAAUCAACCCUCAGGUGGGGUAUAACACUUCGAAAGGAGUGCUAAUCCCGCAUGAGACCACAGGAACCUUGGUUCCAGGGGUCAAAGAGGCGGAGUAAUCCGACUCGCCUGAGGACGAGCCCGCGUCCCAUUAGCUAGUUGGUGAGGUAACGGCCCACCAAGGCUACGAUGGGUAGCUGGUCUGAGAGGACGACCAGCCACACUGGGACUGAGACACGGCCCAGACUCCUACGGGAGGCAGCAGUGGGGAAUAUUGGACAAUGGGGGCAACCCUGAUCCAGCCAUGCCGCGUGAGUGAAGAAGGCCUUCGGGUUGUAAAGCUCUUUCGGCCGGGAAAAAAUCGCAUCAGUUAAUACCUGGUGUGGAUGAUGGUACCGGAAUAAGAAGCACCGGCUAACUACGUG